UUCUUUCCCCCAUCGCGCUGCCAGCCUCAUCUCCCUCCUUCGUUUCCCCUCUGCAAGGUAAGGUUCAAAGGUUCAGGCAGAGAGACAGGUCGUCGAUCCCCGCCGUUCCCUCACCGCCGGUAGCCCCUCCGUGGAGGCCAAGGUGGUAGGGAGGAUGCUGGAUCCUCCCUCGUUCCAUUCCCGCCGCUAGGGAGCCGGAUCCCCUCCUCUGUUGUCUCCUCCACGUCGGCUUCGUCGGAGCGGAGCGGAGCAGUGGUCGUUGCCGGUCGCCCCGCCUGUUCUUCCUCUUCUCUGUAGCCAAGCGCGUCUCCAAGACCUCCAGGGUGAGCGCCUUGUCCUCCUCUUCCAUCCCCGCGCUUAAGGUCUCCCCUCUGCGAGUGGUGGUCGCCGGCAUCGAGCUCCUCUUGGCCGGUGUAGCAGCUCCGUCAAGCCGCCGCCGUGGGCUUCCUCCGGGUGAGUUAACCCCGGGAAUGGAACUCCGAAGGACCCGUUUCCCUCGUGUGGUGCUUAGUUGAUCGUUUAGGCGCCGGAGGGCACGACAGCAUCGUUCCCUGUCCAGGCGGCGCUGCUCUGCUCUGUUGCUUAGCAGCAGUAGCAUCAGUUGAGAGGAUAGCAGUAGCAUCAGUUGAGAGGAUAGCAGUAGCAUCAGUUUUGGUAGUUAGCAGUAGCAGCGGUUCCGGUAGCGGCAGGAGCUUGUUGUAACGACAGCAGUAGUAGAUCGUGGCAGCAGUGCGGCUGCUCGAGAGCGCGUGUCCGUGCUAGCGUUCCCUCUGGAGUGCUUGCAUGCGUGCACGUGUGCGAGUCUGAGCAGAACGAUGGCGACGCGCGUGGUAUUUUCAUCUGGAGAGGAGCCCGUUUUUGGGCAGAUUCCCCCUCCUAGUCCGACUGGUUCGAGGGUUCGAUCAGCCCAGGCGCCCCUUUUGUUUCGUCAGUUUUUUACCCUGUUUACGCUAGGAUUCAAAGCAGGUCGAGUUACCUGAUUCGUAGUCUCUGUUUGAUCAGCUAACUGGGCUUAGCCCAGUGGUAGCUGGCGAGGUGUGUAGCAGGAGGGAGUGGGUUUGAUCCCCACUCUGGCUGUUUGAUUUUUUUUCUCCUGACUAUAACAGUGUGUGUAGCAGUGUGUGUUUGUGUGUAUGACAGUAGCCCCCUGGCCCACAUGUCAUACAGUGAGGGGCCACUGCCUGGUGGGACCCCCUGCUCAUUAUUUUUCUGUGUGUAUUUGUUUAUUUUGUUGGUGAUAUUCCUGGUGCCAAAAGGGCAUAUUUCUAUUCCUGGAAAUGUCCAAAUCUGGACUUGCCAAUUUGGGCAGUCUCAAGAACAGUUUCUGGUCUUGAAAUGAUGUUGUAGUUGAUCCUAUGUCAGAUUCUUUUCCCUGUUUGUGGUGUUUUUCUAGAUGCAAAGGUGGCACUGUGAUAUAUUGAUUUGGGGUAGAAAAUCCCAGUGAAUCCAACGAUGCUAUUAGUUUCUGGUUUUGGACUUCUCUGUAGAAAUUACCUUUUGGUGAGGUGGCAAUAGUUAUCGAUGUAGGGUUUUUUAUGUGCUUGUUUGGAGCAGUGCAUGCGUGCAUAUUGUUGUCUGUUGCAUCAUUUGCUUCUGGUGUUUAUUAGGUCUUGUUUCUUUGGGUAGCAACCGGGGACGAAACGAGUACGAGGAGACUGGAGAGUUCGUGCAGGAAGAAUAAGAGAAGUUCCAGUCUGAAGAGAUCUCAG
rnacentral:lncRNA from 1 species